GACGAACGCUGGCGGCGUGCUUAACACAUGCAAGUCGAACGGAAAGGCCCUGCUUUUGUGGGGUGCUCGAGUGGCGAACGGGUGAGUAACACGUGAGUAACCUGCCCUUGACUUUGGGAUAACUUCAGGAAACUGGGGCUAAUACCGGAUAGGAGCUCCUGCUGCAUGGUGGGGUUUGGAAAGUUUCGGCGGUUGGGGAUGGACUCGCGGCUUAUCAGCUUGUUGGUGGGGUAGUGGCUUACCAAGGCUUUGACGGGUAGCCGGUCUGAGAGGGUGACCGGCCACAUUGGGACUGAGAUACGGCCCAGACUCCUACGGGAGGCAGCAGUGGGGAAUAUUGCACAAUGGGCGGAAGCCUGAUGCAGCAACGCCGCGUGCGGGAUGACGGCCUUCGGGUUGUAAACCGCUUUCGCCUGUGACGAAGCGUGAGUGACGGUAAUGGGUAAAGAAGCACCGGCUAACUACGUG
rnacentral:rRNA from 1 species